AGUGAACGCUGGCGGUAGGCCUAACACAUGCAAGUCGAACGGCAGCACAGUAAGAGCUUGCUCUUACGGGUGGCGAGUGGCGGACGGGUGAGGAAUACAUCGGAAUCUACUUUUUCGUGGGGGAUAACGUAGGGAAACUUACGCUAAUACCGCAUACGACCUACGGGUGAAAGCAGGGGAUCUUCGGACCUUGCGCGAUUGAAUGAGCCGAUGUCGGAUUAGCUAGUUGGUGGGGUAAAGGCCCACCAAGGCGACGAUCCGUAGCUGGUCUGAGAGGAUGAUCAGCCACACUGGAACUGAGACACGGUCAAGACUCCUACGGGAGGCAGCAGUGGGGAAUAUUGGACAAUGGGCGCAAGCCUGAUCCAGCCAUACCGCGUGGGUGAAGAAGGCCUUCGGGUUGUAAAGCCCUUUUGUUGGGAAAGAAAAGCAGCAGGUUAAUACCCCGCUGUUCUGACGGUACCCAAAGAAUAAGCACCGGCUAACUUCGUG
rnacentral:rRNA from 1 species